GACAAACCUUCGAUAUAUACACAUCAUAUAUAAUCUUAACUGUCCGGAAUCGCAGCUGCCUGCUUCCCCUUAUCGGAGGAAGAAAGGGCUUUGUGGCAGUGAGGAUGCAGUACCUUUCUUUGGACUGUGUAGUCGAGUGGUGCGGAGGACUGAGAGCUGUUGCAGCAUUUCAACGAGCCAACGUGAGUGAGACUGCGGAUUUAAUAAUGCUGUUCAUUGAUUGUUCCUGCGCUUUUAUUUGGGCCAUUACAAAGCUCAGAAACAUGUGCACCAGGUAACAGAUAAGGGCUUUUUCAAGCUGUAAAACUGCAGUCAGAAGAAGAGGGAAUUAGCACCACUCAAGAUCACAAGGACUGGUGGCUGAUUUCUAUUUACACGUGUCAUGAAUUGCUAUCCUGCAUUUAGGACAGAUGUUCACUUAGUCAAGAGUGUGUACAGCAGACUCUCUUGUCUGCAGCAACUUCACAGUGACACAAUACUGGUCCUGCAGUUAAAUCAGCAGCUCAUUACACCCUCUGCUCUGUGACAUAAUAGUGAUGUAGUUUCACUGCUGGCUGGUUUGUGAG
ensembl:lncRNA